AGGACGAACGCUGGCGGCGUGCCUAACACAUGCAAGUCGAACGGAGAUUUCAGCAAUGGAAUCUUAGUGGCGAACGGGUGAGUAACGCGUAGACAACCUACCUUCUAGAUGGGGACAACACUGGGAAACUAGUGCUAAUACCGAAUGUUGUAUUAAGGGUGCAUAUCCUAAAUACUAAAGGUGGCCUCUAUUCAUAAGCUAUCACUAGAAGAUGGGUCUGCGUCUGAUUAGCUAGUUGGUGAGGUAAUGGCUCACCAAGGCGACGAUCAGUAGCCGGUCUGAGAGGAUGAACGGCCACACUGGGACUGAGACACGGCCCAGACUCCUACGGGAGGCAGCAGUGGGGAAUCUUCCACAAUGGACGAAAGUCUGACGGAGCAACGCCGCGUGAGUGAAGAAGGUUUUCGGAUCGUAAAACUCUGUUUUCAGGGACGAAUGUGCCGAUUGUAAAUAAUGGUUGGUAAUGACGGUACCUGACAAGAAAGCCACGGCUAACUACGUGCCAGCAGCCGCGGUAAUACGUAGGUGGCAAGCGUUGUCCGGAAUUAUUGGGCGUAAAGCGCGCGCAGGUGGGAUAAUCAGUCUGAUGUUAAAGUUCGGGGCUUAACCCCGUGAAGCAUUGGAUACUGUUAUUCUUGAGUGCAGGAGAGGAAAGUGGAAUUCCUAGUGUAGCGGUGAAAUGCGUAGAUAUUAGGAGGAACACCAGUGGCGAAGGCGACUUUCUGGACUGUGUCUGACACUGAGGCGCGAAAGCCAGGGUAGUGAACGGGAUUAGAUACCCCGGUAAUCCUGGCCGUAAACGAUGGGUACUAGGUGUUGGGGGUAUCGACCCCUCCAGUGCCGGAGUUAACGCAAUAAGUACCCCGCCUGGGGAGUACGGCCGCAAGGUUGAA
rnacentral:rRNA from 1 species